rnacentral:tRNA from 1 species
AAAACUUUAAGUUAAUUAAACUAUUAAUUUUCAAAAUUAAAAAUAAGAAUAUCUUAAGUUUUA